GAUGAACGCUGGCGGCGUGCCUAAUACAUGCAAGUCGAGCGAACAGAUGAGGAGCUUGCUCCUCUGACGUUAGCGGCGGACGGGUGAGUAACACGUGGAUAACCUACCUAUAAGACUGGGAUAACUUCGGGAAACCGGAGCUAAUACCGGAUAAUAUAUUGAACCGCAUGGUUCAAUAGUGAAAGACGGUUUUGCUGUCACUUAUAGAUGGAUCCGCGCCGCAUUAGCUAGUUGGUAAGGUAACGGCUUACCAAGGCAACGAUGCGUAGCCGACCUGAGAGGGUGAUCGGCCACACUGGAGCUGAGACACGGUCCAGACUCCUACGGGAGGCAGCAGUAGGGAAUCUUCCGCAAUGGGCGAAAGCCUGACGGAGCAACGCCGCGUGAGUGAUGAAGGUCUUCGGAUCGUAAAACUCUGUUAUGAGGUAAGAACAAAUGUGUAAGUAACUAUGCACGUCUUGACGGUACCUAAUCAGAAAGCCACGGCUAACUACGUG
rnacentral:rRNA from 1 species